rnacentral:rRNA from 1 species
GAUGAACGCUGGCGGCGUGCCUAAUACAUGCAAGUCGAGCGAACAGAUAAGGAGCUUGCUCCUUUGACGUUAGCGGCGGACGGGUGAGUAACACGUGGGUAACCUACCUAUAAGACUGGGAUAACUUCGGGAAACCGGAGCUAAUACCGGAUAACAUUUGGAACCGCAUGGUUCUAAAGUGAAAGAUGGUUUUGCUAUCACUUAUAGAUGGACCCGCGCCGUAUUAGCUAGUUGGUAAGGUAACGGCUUACCAAGGCGACGAUACGUAGCCGACCUGAGAGGGUGAUCGGCCACACUGGAACUGAGACACGGUCCAGACUCCUACGGGAGGCAGCAGUAGGUAAUCUUCCGCAAUGGGCGAAAGCCUGACGGAGCAACGCCGCGUGAGUGAUGAAGGGUUUCGGCUCGUAAAACUCUGUUAUUAGGGAAGAACAAACGUGUAAGUAACUGUGCACGUCUUGACGGUACCUAAUCAGAAAGCCACGGCUAACUACGUG